rnacentral:sRNA from 1 species
GCUGGGUGUGGUGUCAUAUACCUAUAAUCCCAGAUACUUGGGAGACUGAGGCAGGAGGAUUUCAAGUUCAUGGCCAGCCUCAGCACUUUAUUGAGGCCUUAAGCAGUAGUGAGACCCUGUCUCAA